AUAACCGUGCGAAGGUAGCAUAAUAAAUUGUUCUCUAAAUAAGGACUAGUAUGAAAGGCACCACGAGGGCUUAACUGUCUCCCUUUUCCAAUUAAUGAAACUGAUCUUCUCGUGAGCUUUAAACUUAUCACCAUUUACUUCUUAUUACACCACUGUAUAUAGUAAAAUUUACUUGAUAGUUUUCGGCUGGGGUGACCCUGGAGAAAAACAAAUCCUCCAGGAUGAACGGAAUAAUAAUCCUAAUCAAAGAGCUACAGCUCUAUGAAUCAAAAUAUUGACAGAUUUGAUCCAAUUACUUGAUCAACGAACCAAGUUACCCUGGGGAUAACAGCGCAAUCCAUUUCAAGAGCCCCUAUCGACAAAUGGGUUUACGACCUCGAUGUUGGAUCGGGGUGUCCCAGUGGCGCAACCGCUACUAAAGGUUCGUUUGUUCAACGAUUAAUAACCCCACGUGAUCU
rnacentral:rRNA from 1 species